rnacentral:rRNA from 1 species
CAGUAGCCGCGGGAAUACGUAGGUGGCGAGUGUUGUCCGGAAUUAUUGGGCGUAAAGGGAGCGCAGGCGGACAUAUAAGUCCAUCUUAAAAGUGCGGGGCUCAACCCCGUGAGGGGAUGGAAACUGUAUGCCUUGAGUGCAGGAGAGGAAAGCGGAAUUCCCAGUGUAGCGGUGAAAUGCGUAGAUAUUGGGAGGAACACCAGUGGCGAAGGCGGCUUUCUGGACUGUAACUGACGCUGAGGCUCGAAAGCCAGGGGAGCGAACGGGAUUAGAGACCCGUGUAGUCCCUGUCUCUUAUACA